rnacentral:rRNA from 1 species
UACGGAGGGGGCGAGCGUUAUUCGGAAUCAUUGGGCGUAAAGUGCGCGUAGGCGGCCCGCUAAGUCAGGGGUGAAAUCCCUCGGCUCAACCGAGGAAUUGCCUCUGAAACUGGCAGGCUCGAGGCCGGGAGAGGGUGGUGGAAUUCCCAGUGUAGCGGUGAAAUGCGUAGAUACUGGGAGGAACACCAGUGGCGAAGGCGGCCACCUGGACCGGUUCUGACGCUGAGGCGCGACAGCGUGGGGAGCAAACAGG